UACGUAGGUGGCAAGCGUUGUCCGGAAUUAUUGGGCGUAAAGCGCGCGCAGGCGGCCUCUUAAGUCUGAUGUGAAAGCCCCCCGGCUCAACCGGGGAGGGCCAUUGGAAACUGGGAGGCUUGAGUAUAGGAGAGAAGAGUGGAAUUCCACGUGUAGCGGUGAAAUGCGUAGAGAUGAUGGAGGAACACCAGUGGCGAAGGCGACUCUUUGGCCUAUAACUGACGCUGAGGCGCGAAAGCGUGGGGAGCAAACAGG
rnacentral:rRNA from 1 species